rnacentral:rRNA from 1 species
UGGCGAACGGGUGAGUAACGCGUGAGGAACCUGCCUCAAAGAGGGGGACAACAGUUGGAAACGACUGCUAAUACCGCAUAAGCCCACGGGUCGGCAUCGACCUGAGGGAAAAGGAGCAAUCCGCUUUGAGAUGGCCUCGCGUCCGAUUAGCUAGUUGGUGAGGUAACGGCCCACCAAGGCGACGACCGGUAGCCGGACUGAGAGGUUGAACGGCCACAUUGGGACUGAGACACGGCCCAG